ACCACAACGGGUGGAGCCUGCGGUUAAUUGGACUCAACGCCGGGCAGCUCACCGGAUAAGACAGCUGGAUGAUAGCCGGGCUGAAGACUCUGCUUGACUAGCUGAGAGGAGGUGCAUGGCCGUCGUCAGUUCGUACUGUGAAGCAUCCUGUUAAGUCAGGCAACGAGCGAGACCCACGCCAACAGUUGCCAGCAUGUCCUCCGGGAUGAUGGGGACACUGUUGGGACCGCCUCUGCUAAAGAGGAGGAAGGAAUGGGCAACGGUAGGUCAGCAUGCCCCGAAUUAUCCGGGCUACACGCGGGCUACAAUGGUCAGGACAAUGGGUAUCGACACCGAGAGGUGGAGGCAAUCUCCUAAACCUGUCCUUAGUUCGGAUUGUGGGCUGCAACUCGCCCACAUGAAGCUGGAAUCCGUAGUAAUCGCGUUUCAAAAUAGCACGGUGAAUAUGUCCCUGCUCCUU
rnacentral:rRNA from 1 species